GUCUUCUUCGUCUAGGGGUUAGGACAUCGCCUUUUCACGGCGGAAACACGAGUUCGAUUCUCGUAGAAGAUA
rnacentral:tRNA from 1 species